rnacentral:tRNA from 1 species
AGGGGUGUAGUUCAGCUGGUAGAACGACGGUCUCCAAAACCGUAUGUCGUGGGUUCAAGUCCUGCCACCCCUGCCA